UGCAAGUCGAGCGAGCUGAAUUCAAAGAUCCCUUCGGGGUGAUUUGUUGGACGCUAGCGGCGGAUGGGUGAGUAACACGUGGGCAAUCUGCCCUAAAGACUGGGAUACCACUUGGAAACAGGUGCUAAUACCGGAUAACAACAUGAAUCGCAUGAUUCAAGUUUGAAAGGCGGCGCAAGCUGUCACUUUAGGAUGAGCCCGCGGCGCAUUAGCUAGUUGGUGGGGUAAAGGCCUACCAAGGCAAUGAUGCGUAGCCGAGUUGAGAGACUGAUCGGCCACAUUGGGACUGAGACACGGCCCAAACUCCUACGGGAGGCAGCAGUAGGGAAUCUUCCACAAUGGACGCAAGUCUGAUGGAGCAACGCCGCGUGAGUGAAGAAGGUUUUCGGAUCGUAAAGCUCUGUUGUUGGUGAAGAAGGAUAGAGGCAGUAACUGGUCUUUAUUUGACGGUAAUCAACCAGAAAGUCACGGCUAACUACGUGCCAGCAGCCGCGGUAAUACGUAGGUGGCAAGCGUUGUCCGGAUUUAUUGGGCGUAAAGCGAGCGCACGCGGAAUGAUAAGUCUGAUGUGAAAGCCCACGGCUCAACCGUGGAACUGCAUCGGAAACUGUCAUUCUUGAGUGCAGAAGA
rnacentral:rRNA from 1 species